GGGUGUUGACGCGAUGUGAUUUCUGCCCAGU
rnacentral:piRNA from 3 species